rnacentral:misc_RNA from 1 species
GGCCGCCCCUUCGCCUUCCUGCGUCAAUCACCGCCCCACAACCACACGUGUGCGCUGUACGAGGGGCAGGGGGCACGCACUACACGCCUCUUGUCUGUCAACUGUGUGGGCGCCGGUGGCUUCCGUUCUGAAAACCAGCUGAUCGGCUCUGCUCCACGGCUGCCAUCGCCGUUCCUUCCUGUGCGUGUGCGUCUGUUGUUGUUUGUGCUUCGGUUUAGGAUUUGCGUGACCACCAGCGUCCCGGUGAGCACGAGGGACCCCUCCGCCUCCCCCUCCCCCCAGCGGGCCUCCAAGUUGCUUUCGAAGACGGCGUUGUACUGCAUUGUCCGCCACGGCAGCGCGUGCGUCGUGUCGUGUCGUGCCGUGUCUGUCUCAUGCUCCGCCGGCAACUUCACCUCUCCGCCAUCGGCGGCGUGCCAGCGGCGGCGGCGGCGGUGCUUGCUGGCAUAGGCCCAUCCUCCGCGGCGGCCGCCACUGGCACGUUGUCGUCUUCGUCAACCCCUCUAUCGGCCAUGGCGAGCGUCAGUCCGCUCCUCAUGCCCUGCCGUGGCGUGAAGCUCGUGAACCCCAUCGGCAAGCAAGGCAGCCAGCACUACGGCCUUGAGCCGAAGCUGGAAGCGGGCAGGGACACGCAGCUGAAGCACACAGAAAUGUACGACGGCUACACAGAUGACUUUGGUGUCUUCAAGGAAGGUCCGCCGGUGACGCUGCGGCUCGAGUACGUGCGCUCGCCUGAUCACGGCUACUCGCAGCACAUCCUGCAGAAAGAUAUUUGGUCGCCCUUCCAGGUCGGCGCGAACAUGAUGUCCUACACCCCGCUCUACUAUGACUGGAAGGGGUUCUCGAGUCGCGACUACUUUGGCCACCGCAGCGGCACCAACCCAGGCAGCAAGGUGCUCCUCGGCCACUACCGCCGCGACGAGGUACGCUCGUGGGGCUACCGGAUAAUGGUGAAUCACAAACCACAGAAACGCAUCCCUAAGUGGCUCGCGUGUGUCGUGCACAUCCCGCGCAAGAAGACGUUUCUCGGGUUCUUUCUGUACGCCAACGGCGCGUAUGUGGCGGAGCUGCUCACGUACAAGCAGCUGCCGCGCAUCAUCUACAACAAGGCGUUUCAGGGGUGCUUGCCGACCAUUGGGCAGACGGUGUCGCUGACCGAGGUGACCUACGGAAAAGAGAUCCACUCCGUAGAGAUGUACCCGGGGCACGGUGGCGUCAUCUGCCGGGCGAGCGGAACCGCGGCUGUGGUGCUGCGCGGGUCGGAGCCGAACCUUGUCCCGCUCCUGCUGCCCUCCAAGGAGGUGCGUCUCUUCGACAGCACGUGCCACGCCGUCUUUGGCCGUCGUGCCGGCGUCAUGUACAACAAGCAGCGCAACUUCAGUAAGCGCAGUAUCGAGGAGAACAUGCCGCACCGGCCAAAGGUGCACUCCAAAACGAAGCGAGUGUCGAGCCACCCGGCCGGUGGCGGCAACGGCGGCUCGCCGAAUCUGCUCACGCCGCUGGACUGGCGUAUUCAUCCGCGCAACUGCGUCAAGACAAAGUAUUGGCUCUCCGGGUACAUCCUGCGGGGCCGGCAGUACAACCGCAACCAGACGGUGGCCGAUCUCAAGUCGAAAACGUACAGCUGGGCGAAUCGCGACCCCGUGUACCGGUAGCGUAAUGGAGGGGAGGGCGCGGAUCUGCCUCGGCGUUUGCUGUCGUGCGUCGGUGCUCUUUGCCGAUACGCAGCCAGAACGCGAAGCUUGUGUGAUGGGAAGAGGGAGUCGUGCCUUUGCUGGCCUCUGGGCAUGUGUGCGUGGCUCUCACUCUUCGCUUCUUGGGUGGGUAGUAGCCGUCGUCUGCGUGCGUGCGCGAGUCUGCGCGCACAGGAUGGUGUGUGGGCAUGUGUAACGUGCGCCUGCUGCGUUAAUGCGUUGUUGCAUGAUGAGUUGGGCAUGCGCCGGCAUGCGAGGAAG